UUGUAGAAACGCAUGUAUUUCCUUAAACUCAGAAUCCCUUCGAUCCGUAGCUUUGUUAUGAAAAUAUGGAAAGUGUUCGUAUAACAGUUUCAUAGACGUAAUAGACUAAGAUUCUGAAGGGUCUUAAGUUCAAGCGACAGACAGGCUCGGCACCUUAGGAAUUUGACCUGAACUGACAAUGUUAACUACAGAAGAACAGUUUCAGAUUUGAAAUAAAAAUUGAGAAAAAGAAACGUACAAGUGACGUAUCCAUUAAACGCACAAGAUAGGAGCUCCCGCUGGUGACAUUGGUGGAUUAGAUCCAACUGUCAACCCCCAUAUCAUUCCCCAUGGGACAAAGGGUACAUGCCAGGUUUGGUGACAAUCGGCCCAGCGGUUCUCCAG